rnacentral:rRNA from 1 species
GACGAACGCUGGCGGCGUGCUUAACACAUGCAAGUCGAGCGGUAAGGCCCUUUCGGGGGUACACGAGCGGCGAACGGGUGAGUAACACGUGGGUGACCUGCCCUCAGCUCUGGGAUAAGCCUGGGAAACCGGGUCUAAUACCGGAUAUGACUCCAUGACGCAUGUUGUGGGGUGGAAAGCCUUGUGCGGCUGAGGAUGGGCCCGCGGCCUAUCAGCUUGUUGGUGGGGUGANGGCCUACCAAGGCGACGACGGGUAGCCGGCCUGAGAGGGCGACCGGCCACACUGGGACUGAGACACGGCCCAGACUCCUACGGGAGGCAGCAGUGGGGAAUAUUGGACAAUGGGCGCAAGCCUGAUCCAGCGAUGCCGCGUGUGUGAAGAAGGCCUGCGGGUUGUAAAGCACUUUC